rnacentral:rRNA from 1 species
AGUGAACGCUGGCGGUAGGCCUAACACAUGCAAGUCGAACGGCAGCACAGUAAGAGCUUGCUCUUACGGGUGGCGAGUGGCGGACGGGUGAGGAAUACAUCGGAAUCUACUUUUUCGUGGGGGAUAACGUAGGGAAACUUACGCUAAUACCGCAUACGACCUACGGGUGAAAGCAGGGGAUCUUCGGACCUUGCGCGAUUGAAUGAGCCGAUGUCGGAUUAGCUAGUUGGCGGGGUAAAGGCCCACCAAGGCGACGAUCCGUAGCUGGUCUGAGAGGAUGAUCAGCCACACUGGAACUGAGACACGGUCCAGACUCCUACGGGAGGCAGCAGUGGGGAAUAUUGGACAAUGGGCGCAAGCCGGAUCCAGCCAUACCGCGUGGGUGCAGAAGGACUUCGGGUUGUAAAGCCCUUUUGUUGGGAAAGAAAAGCAGCAGGUUAAUACCCCGCUGUUCUGACGGUACCAAAAGAAUAAGCACCGGCUAACUUCGUG